rnacentral:rRNA from 1 species
UGGGGAAUAUUGCGCAAUGGGCGAAAGCCUGACGCAGCAACGCCGCGUGAGUGAUGAAGGCCUUCGGGUCGUAAAGCUCUGUCGGAGGGAACGAAUGCUCCUGAAGUUAACAGCCUCAGGAGGUGACGGUACCCUCAAAGGAAGCACCGGCUAACUCUGUGCCAGCAGCCGCGGUAAUACAGAGGGUGCAAGCGUUGUUCGGAAUCAUUGGGCGUAAAGGGCGUGUAGGCGGUAUGUUAAGUCAUGUGUGAAAUCCCUCGGCUCAACCGGGGAACGACGCAUGAAACUGGCAAGCUAGAGUACCAAAGAGGGUGGUGGAAUUCCCGGUGUAGCAGUGAAAUGCGUAGAGAUCUGGAGGAACACCGAUGGCGAAGGCAGCCCCCUGGGCUAACACUGACGCUCAUGCACGAAAGCGUGGGGAGCAAACAGGAUUAGAUACCCGAGUAGUCCCUGAGCGGGCUGGCAAGGCGC